GGCUGUGUAGCUCAGUUGGUCAGAGCACAGCAUUCAUAAUGCUGGAGUCGGUGGUUCAAGUCCACCCACAGCCACCA
rnacentral:tRNA from 1 species